rnacentral:rRNA from 1 species
UACAGAGGGGGCGAGCGUUGUUCGGAUUUACUGGGCGUAAAGGGCGCGUAGGCGGCUUGACAAGUCACUUGUGAAAUCUCUGGGCUUAACCCAGAACGGCCAAGUGAAACUGUCGAGCUAGAGUGUAGAAGGGGCAAUCGGAAUUCUUGGUGUAGCGGUGAAAUGCGUAGAUAUCAAGAGGAACACCUGAGGUGAAGACGGGUUGCUGGUCUAACACUGACGCUGAGGCGCGAAAGCCAGGGGAGCAAACGGG